AGCAGCCGCGGUAAUUCCAGCUCCAAUAGCGUAUAUUAAAGUUGUUGCAGUUAAAAAGCUCGUAGUUGAAUUUCGGGAUCAAAGGAUCGGUCAUGCCUUGGUAUGUACUGGUUUUAUUGGUUCUCACCUUCUAAAGAACCAUAAUGUCAUUCAUUUGAUGUUAUGGGGAAUUAGGACUGUUACCUCGAAAAAUUAGAGUGUUUAAAGCAGGCUCACGCUUGAAUACAUUAGCAUGGAAUAAUGAAAUAGGACGUUUGAUCCUAUUUUGUUGGCUUCUAGGAUUGACGUAAUGAUUAAUAGGGAUAGUUGGGGGCAUUAGUAUUCAAUUGUCAGAGGUGAAAUUCUUGGAUUUAUUGAAGACUAACUACUGCGAAAGCAUUUGCCAAGGAUGUUUUCAUUAAUCAAGAACGAAAGUUAGGGGAUCGAAGACGAUCAGAUACCGUCGUAGUC
rnacentral:rRNA from 1 species